CCUACGGGGGGCAGCAGUGGGGAAUAUUGCACAAUGGGGGGAACCCUGAUGCAGCGACGCCGCGUGAGUGAAGAAGUAUUUCGGUAUGUAAAGCUCUAUCAGCAGGGAAGAAGAUGACGGUACCUGACUAAGAAGCCCCGGCUAACUACGUGCCAGCAGCCGCGGUAAUACGGAGGGGGCAAGCGUUAUCCGGAUUUACUGGGUGUAAAGGGGGCGUAGACGGCAGGGCAAGUCUGGAGUGAAAGCCCCGGGCUCAACCCCGGGACUGCUUUGGAAACUGCCAUGCUGGAGUGCUGGAGAGGUAAGCGGAAUGCCUAGUGUAGCGGUGAAAUGCGUAGAUAUUAGGAGGAACACCAGUGGCGAAGGCGGCUUACUGGAGAGGAACUGACGUUGAGGCUCGAAAGCGUGGGGAGCGAACAGGAUUAGAUACCCUAGUAGUC
rnacentral:rRNA from 1 species